rnacentral:ncRNA from 1 species
CACGUCCACUCCACAAAAUGGGCGCACGCCGCCAAGAAAGGAGAAAAUCACCCUCCGCAGACUUGCGGUGCGGCAGUGUGGAGACCUGUCGCAAUGCGCCGCGCUCCGUUGCGGGCGGGCGUGAGAUACGGACAAGCGGAGGCUUCCGUAUCAGAGUCGGUUGCAUGGCA